AACGCUAGCUACAGGCUUAACACAUGCAAGUCGAGGGGCAGCAUGGUCUUAGCUUGCUAAGGCCGAUGGCGACCGGCGCACGGGUGAGUAACACGUAUCCAACCUGCCGUCUACUCUUGGACAGCCUUCUGAAAGAAAGAUUAAUACCCGAUGGUAUAAAGAGUUCGCAUGUUCUCUUUAUUAAAGAAUUUCGGUAAGCGAUGGGGAUGCGUUCCAUUAGAUUGUUGGCGGGGUAACGGCCCACCAAGUCUACGAUGGAUAGGGGUUCUGAGAGGAAGGUCCCCCACAUUGGAACUGAGACACGGUCCAAACUCCUACGGGAGGCAGCAGUGAGGAAUAUUGGUCAAUGGACGAGAGUCUGAACCAGCCAAGUAGCGUGAAGGAUGACUGCCCUAUGGGUUGUAAACUUCUUUUAUAAGGGAAUAAAGUGAGGGACGUGUCUCUUUUUGUAUGUACCUUAUGAAUAAGGAUCGGCUAACUCCGUGCCAGCAGCCGCGGUAAUACGGAGGAUCCGAGCGUUAUCCGGAUUUAUUGGGUUUAAGGGAGCGUAGGUUGACGUAUAAGUCAGCUGUGAAAGUUUACGGCUCAACCGUGAAAUUGCAGUUGAUACUGUAUGUCUUGAGUGUACAAGAGGUGGGCGGAAUUCGUGGUGUAGCGGUGAAAUGCUUAGAUAUCACGAAGAACUCCGAUUG
rnacentral:rRNA from 1 species